rnacentral:rRNA from 1 species
UACGGGGGGAGCAAGCGUUGUUCGGAUUUACUGGGCGUAAAGGGCGCGUAGGCGGCUUUCCAAGUCACUUGUGAAAUCUCCGGGCUUAACUCGGAAAGGUCAAGUGAUACUGUGAGGCUAGAGUGCGGAAGGGGCAACUGGAAUUCUCGGUGUAGCGGUGAAAUGCGUAGAUAUCGAGAGGAACACCUGCGGCGAAGGCGGGUUGCUGGGCCGACACUGACGCUGAUGCGCGAAAGCUAGGGGAGCGAACGGG